CUUCUCGAAAAGAUGAGUCUCAAGCCUCGUCCCCUGACCCAGCUCCCUUCAACUCCCAGGUUCCUGUCUUUUGUUUCAGAAACGUGUGCUGUGUUUGUACAUUUGAAUUUCGUACUAGAAAAAUAAUGUCUGAAUUUGUACAGGGGGAGGAUGUUACAUACGUGCUGAAGCUUGUAGGUGGAUCAGUAUUGGGAGCUGCUGUUAUCAAAUACGGAAGCGCUUUAUUCCCACAAAUCACAACACCCAACAUUCUUCUUGCUCUUUCCAUGAUUUCCGCUCCUGUUAUCUUAGCUAUCUUCCUUCUCG
rnacentral:lncRNA from 1 species